GGAUCCGUGGCGCAAUGGUAGCGCGUCUGACUCCAGAUUAGAAGGUUGCGUGUUCGUUUCACGUCAGGUUCA
rfam:Ipomoea nil DNA, scaffold: scaffold2280, cultivar: Tokyo-kokei standard.